GCACUUGCAUAAGGAAGAGAGUAUGUGAGCACAGAGCUGGAUGGUGGCUGCCUGGAAGCAAAGACAAGAUGUCUUAAAAGGAAAUCUACCUUGCUGACACGUUCAUCUUGGACUUCCCACUGCCAAAACUGAGGGAAAUAAAUUCCUGUUGUAUACUGAAACCACCCCCCUCCACCACGUGAAGCUAAUUACAUGAUGACCAGACUGUAGCCAUGACAUGAGCUGCCACAAUUCUGAAAACUGGCCUCAAGGAAAUGGAAACAAACUGACCCUGGAACUGAAGAUUAACUGUACCUAAAACAAUCCAGAUGACACUGGUCAGAACACUGCAUGACCAGUUUCAAGAUGACUGUCAGAGCUGACUGUGCUGUUUCUGCAUGUAACACCCUUCCUCUGUCUUUAACUCUUACACCCUACUUGUCAAUGCGGGAGUAGGCCUUUGGACAAACGUCUGUUACUCCCCUCUAGUUGCUGGUAUCUGAAAUAAAGCAAACUUUCCUUUCCA